AAAUGAAUAGACGGGGACCCGCACAAGCAGCGGAGCAUGUGGUUUAAUUCGAAGCAACGCGAAGAACCUUACCAGGUCUUGACAUCUCUCUGACCGAUCCUUAGCCGGAUCUUUCCUUCGGGACAGAGAUGACAGGUGGUGCAUGGUUGUCGUCAGCUCGUGUCGUGAGAUGUUGGGUUAAGUCCCGCAACGAGCGCAACCCUUGUGUUUAGUUGCCAACAGGUAAAGCUGUGCACUCUAAACAGACUGCCGUGGAUAACACGGAGGAAGGUGGGGAUGACGUCAAAUCAUCAUGCCCCUUAUGAUCUGGGCUACACACGUGCUACAAUGGUCGGUACAACGGGCAGCGAAAGAGUAAUCUGGAGCGAAUCCUAAAAAGCCGAUCCCAGUUCGGAUUGUGGGCUGAAACUCGCCCACAUGAAGUUGGAGUUGCUAGUAAUCGCGAAUCAGAAUGUCGCGGUGAAUGCGUUCCCGGGUCUUGCACACACCGCCCGU
rnacentral:rRNA from 1 species